rnacentral:rRNA from 1 species
GUGCCAGCAGCCGCGGUAAAACGUAGGAGGCAAGCGUUAUCCGGAGUUACUGGGCGUAAAGCGCAUGUAGGCGGUUGGGCAAGUGGCGUGUGAAAGCUCCCGGCUAAACUGGGAGACGACAGGUCAGACUGCCGAACUGGAGUCCGAUAGAGGAGCGUAGAAUUCCGGGUGUAGCGGUGAAAUGUGUAGAGAUCCGGAGGAAUACCAGUGGCGCAAGCGGCGCUCUGGGUCGGGACUGACGCUGAGAUGCGAAAGCGUGGGGAGCGAACGGGAUUAGAAACCCGCGUAGUCC